rnacentral:rRNA from 1 species
ACGGGAGGCAGCAGUGAGGAAUAUUGGUCAAUGGACGGAAGUCUGAACCAGCCAAGUCGCGUGAAGGAUGAAGGUAUUAUGUAUUGUAAACUUCUUUAGCAGUGGAGUAAUAAGGGGAUCGCGAUCCCUGAUGCAAGUACACUGAGAAUAAGGAUCGGCUAACUCCGUGCCAGCAGCCGCGGUAAUACGGAGGAUCCGAGCGUUAUCCGGAUUUAUUGGGUUUAAAGGGUGCGCAGGCGGCACGUUAAGUCAGCGGUGAAAUGCAGGGGCUCAACCCCGGCACUGCCGUUGAAACUGGCGAGCUCGAGUACGGAUGAAGUCGGCGGAAUGUGAUGUGUAGCGGUGAAAUGCUUAGAUAUGUCACAGAACACCGAUUGCGAAGGCAGCUGACUAAUCCGCAACUGACGCUCAGGCACGAAAGCGUGGGGAUCGAACAGGAUUAGAUACCCUGGUA